rnacentral:sRNA from 1 species
CGGGGCCGGGCGGAGGCCUGUACCGCGGGCUGCUGACCUCUCCCCACAGCCCGGCGAGAAACAGCCUCUGGAUCUGGGGAAGCUAGUGAGCUCGGUGGCGGCCCAGAGACUGGUUUUGGACACUCUUCCAGGUGUGAAGAUCUCCAAAGCCCGUGACAAAUCUCCCUGCCGCAGCCAGGCCUGGUGGAGCUGCUGAACCGGGUGCAGAGCAGCGGGGCCCACGACCAGAGGGGCCUUCUGAGGAAAGAGGACCUGGUACUUCCAGAAUUUCUGCAGCUGCCCGCCCAAGGGUCCAGCUCCCAGGAGACCCCACCACAGACCGAAUCAGCAGCCCAGCCCAUCGGGGGAUCCUUGAACUCCACCACCGACUCAGCCCUCUGACAGCUACCCAACAGUCCAGGACAGCUGCAUGGCACCCGGCGGGCCGAGCAUGCCAUGGGUCCGCUCUG